rnacentral:misc_RNA from 1 species
GAUGAAGAACGUAGCGAAAUGCGAUAAGUAGUGUGAAUUGCAGAAUUCAGUGAAUCAUCGAAUCUUUGAACGCACAUUGCGCCUCCUGGUAUUCCGGGAGGCAUGCCUGUUCGAGCGUCAUUAAAAUCACUCAAGCUUAGGUUUACCUAUUGCUUGGUCUUGGAGAUGGAAGCCAAUUUAUUGGAAUCCUCUUCGAAAUUCAAUGGCGAAGACCCUUGCUCUCCCAAGUGUAGUAAUAACUUAUGUCACUGAAGGAAGCGAGAAAUCUUCUGCCGUAACCCCCAUAUUUUCUAUGAUUGACCUCGGAUCAGGUAGGGAUACCCGCUGAACUUAAGCAUACAAUAAGCGGAGGA